AGCGAACGCUGGCGGCAUGCUUAACACAUGCAAGUCGCACGAAGGUUUCGGCCUUAGUGGCGGACGGGUGAGUAACGCGUAGGAAUCUAUCCAUGGGCGGGGGAUAACACUGGGACACUGGUGCUAAUACCGCAUGAUACCCGAGGGUCAAAGGCGCAAGUCGCCUGCGGAGGAGCCUGCGUUCGAUUAGCUAGUUGGUGGGGUAAAGGCCUACCAAGGCGAUGAUCGAUAGCUGGUUUGAGAGGAUGAUCAGCCACACUGGGACUGAGACUCGGCCCAGACUCCUACGGGAGGCAGCAGUGGGGAAUAUUGGACAAUGGGGGCAACCCUGAUCCAGCAAUGCCGCGUGUGUGAAGAAGGUCUUCGGAUUGUAAAGCACUUUCGACGGGGACGAUGAUGACGGUACCCGUAGAAGAAGCCCCGGCUAACUUCGUGCCAGCAGCCGCCGUAAAAC
rnacentral:rRNA from 1 species